AUUGAACGCUGGCGGCAGGCCCAACACAUGCAAGUCGAGCGGAUGAAGGGAGCUUGCUCCUGGAUUCAGCGGCGGACGGGUGAGUAAUGCCUAGGAAUCUGCCUGGUAGUGGGGGAUAACGUCCGGAAACGGGCGCUAAUACCGCAUACGUCCUGAGGGAGAAAGUGGGGGAUCUUCGGACCUCACGCUAUCAGAUGAGCCUAGGUCGGAUUAGCUAGUUGGUGGGGUAAAGGCCUACCAAGGCGACGAUCUGUAACUGGUCUGAGAGGAUGAUCAGUCACACUGGAACUGAGACACGGUCCAGACUCCUACGGGAGGCAGCAGUGGGGAAUAUUGGACAAUGGGCGAAAGCCUGAUCCAGCCAUGCCGCGUGUGUGAAGAAGGUCUUCGGAUUGUAAAGCACUUUAAGUUGGGAGGAAGGGCGGUAAGUUAAUACCUUGCUGUUUUGACGUUACCAACAGAAUAAGCACCGGCUAACUUCGUG
rnacentral:rRNA from 1 species